CGCCCUCCGGAUGGAUCUUUGUGUUGCCAGGCAGGAAUGGGCUGCUUGGGGACCCAGUGAGCUCCGAGGGCCUUUCUGCUGCUUCCUGUACCCCUGUGUAUUUCGCUCAGCUCUCUGACUUGACUCAGCUCCAGAAAUAUUCUUUCAUUAAUAUUACAUGCUUAUGGAACUUUACCUAUUGAUUAAAGGCAUCUACCCCUGGAGAAAGAGCCCAAUGAGAAGUAAUCUCUGAAGCCCAGAUUUCCUAAGGAUGAAGCUUCAGGAGAGGCCUUAUCAAUCCUGACAACAAACUUUUCUCGUCAAUUUAGUUUCAUUUAACGGAAGUUUUAAAUGUGGAAAGUUCAGAAGGCUAUUAAAAUUGGUUCCAGCUAUCUAAGAUACACACACAACCACACACGCACACACACACGCACACACACGGUAGAGAUAAAUAUGUUCGAAAAUCCAGCUCAAUGUUACUAGAAAAUUUGAUCAGAAUCUGGUGAAAUAAAUAGUAAACUUACUAAAAAUGCCAAAUAUCCCAGAAGUUGCUUAACAUUUGAUCAAAAACUCUGUCCAGUCAAUUUCUGCUUCUUUCAAAAAUACUCUGCUGAAAAGCCAAAGGAGAAAUGGGGCUGGUACCUUCAAUAUAGAGAAUUCCAAGUAAGAUUAGAUCCCAGAAGGCUUAGUGUGGCUUUCUAGGACUCUCACUAUUAGGCAGUAACCUACCAUUCACCUCUGUUUCCCAGAUUCACCUUGCUAUACCUUAUAACUUAAAAUAUAAAUUCCAACAAUGUACUGCACUCAAAAAAAUUAUUUCUCAA